AGUGAACGCUGGCGGUAGGCCUAACACAUGCAAGUCGAACGGCAGCACAGUAAGAGCUUGCUCUUACGGGUGGCGAGUGGCGGACGGGUGAGGAAUACAUCGGAAUCUACUUUUUCGUGGGGGAUAACGUAGGGAAACUUACGCUAAUACCGCAUACGCCCUACGGGUGAAAGCAGGGGAUCUUCGGACCUUGCGCGGUUGAAUGGGCCGAUGUCGGAUUAGCUAGUUGGCGGGGUAAAGGCCCACCAAGGCGACGAUCCGUAGCUGGUCUGAGAGGAUGAUCAGCCACACGGGAACGGAGACACGGACCAGACUCCUACGGGAGGCAGCAGUGGGGAAUAUUGGACAAUGGGCGCAAGCCUGUUCCAGCCAUACCGCGUGGGUGAAGAAGGCCUUCGGGUUGUAAAGCCCUUUUGUUGGGAAAGAAAAGCAGCAGGUUAAUACCCCGCUGUUCUGACGGUACCCAAAGAAUAAGCACCGGCUAACUUCGUG
rnacentral:rRNA from 1 species